rnacentral:rRNA from 1 species
ACUCGAGUGGCGAACGGGUGAGUAACACGUGGGUGAUCUGCCCUGCACUUCGGGAUAAGCCUGGGAAACUGGGUCUAAUACCGGAUAGGAGCCAUUUUUAGUGUGACGGUUGGGAAGUUUUUUCGGUGUAGGAUGAGCUCGCGGCCUAUCAGCUUGUCGGUGGGGUAAUGGCCUACCAAGGCGGCGACGGGUAGCCGGCCUGAGAGGGUGGACGGCCACAUUGGGACUGAGAUACGGCCCAGACUCCUACGGGAGGCAGCAGUGGGGAAUAUUGCACAAUGGGCGCAAGCCUGAUGCAGCGACGCCGCGUGGGGGAUGACGGCCUUCGGGUUGUAAACUCCUUUCGCUAGGGACGAAGCUUUUUGUGACGGUACCUAGAUAAGAAGCACCGGCUAACUACGUGCCAGCAGCCGCGGUAAUACGUAGGGUGCGAGCGUUGUCCGGAAUUACUGGGCGUAAAGGGCUCGUAGGUGGUUUGUCGCGUCGUCUGUGAAAUUCCGGGGCUUAACUCCGGGCGUGCAGGCGAUACGGGCAUAACUUGAGUACUGUAGGGGUAACUGGAAUUCCUGGUGUAGCGGUGAAAUGCGCAGAUAUCAGGAGGAACACCGAUGGCGAAGGCAGGUUACUGGGCAGU